CACAAAGCCAAACUUGUUGUGAAGCAAGGACGGAAAGCCACGGGCCUUUGAGUUCCAAAGGUGGCCGGGUUAC
rnacentral:ncRNA from 1 species